rnacentral:lncRNA from 1 species
CUGACCAAUCACAGAGGACUCUGCAAGCGACGUCACUGGAAUCGUUCGUGAGAGAACAGAAAUGAGAGCUCCACUGCUGAUCUGUACAAGAGGAAAAUAUUUAUUGUGACCACGUUAACAAAGAAAAGUAAAGAGUUAGUACUUGUACCAUUGAUCUUGAAGCUGUACAAUGGACAACAAGACCAGAGCUUGAUUAAUGCAGGUUUUGUGGUGGUCUUGGAGGGCACUAAUAUCCUUGAAGGUUGUUUUUGGUUUAUUUUGGUCCUGUUUGCAGUCUCACACCUGCAUUGUGUGAAACCGCUUUUCAAGAGAUGUGUCCGAGGAAACACGUGGUCCACUUAUGUAGAAAUGCUGGAGUUGCAGAGGCGGCGGUGACCCGGAUCUGGGGGUUCACCAUGAGGAGAUGAUGAUGAUGAUGAUGAUGAUGAUGAUGAUGUACAAUAAAGACAGCAAAACCUGCAAGGAUGCUUCAAGAACAC